GCCUCCGUGGCGCAAUCGGCUAGCGCGUUCGGCUGUUAACCGAAAGGUUGGUGGUUCGAGAACACCCGGGGGUU
rnacentral:tRNA from 1 species